UACGGAGGGUGCAAGCGUUAUCCGGAUUUACUGGGUUUAAAGGGUGCGUAGGUGGGUAGAUAAGUCAGUGGUGAAAUCUUCGGGCUUAACCCGGAAACUGCCAUUGAUACUAUCUGUCUUGAAUAUCCUGGAGGUGAGCGGAAUAUGUCAUGUAGCGGUGAAAUGCUUAGAUAUGACAUAGAACACCAAUUGCGAAGGCAGCUCACUACGGGAUUAUUGACACUGAUGCACGAAAGCGUGGGGAUCAAACGGG
rnacentral:rRNA from 1 species